CGGGGUGUGGCGCAGCCUGGUAGCGCGUGCGGUUUGGGUCCGCAAGGUCGGAGGUUCGAAUCCUCUCACCCCGA
rnacentral:tRNA from 1 species